CCCCUCCUGCUGGUAUUACCGUGUUCUCUGUUCCUUGAUUCUCUACUUCCUGAGAGGAACCGAACUCCUAAAGACAAGAGGGAAAAGACUCCACUUCCUUCUCCUCCUCCGGGACCAGAGGACAGCAGCUAUGACCAGGAGAUGUGGGGUAUUGCUCUGGGCCCUUUCUGCAAGGCCCCCACCGUAGGCUGGUAGAGACCCAACACCAUGAGAAAAGAAGAUAAUUGUAACAACAACAAUAAUAAUAAUAAAUAUCUAAUGUUUAUAGAAUA